UGGAAGGGCCAUCGCUCAACGGAUAAAAGGUACGCCGGGGAUAACAGGCUGAUACUGCCCAAGAGUCCAUAUCGACGGCAGUGUUUGGCACCUCGAUGUCGGCUCAUCUCAUCCUGGGGCUGGAGCAGGUCCCAAGGGUACGGCUGUUCGCCGUUUAAAGAGGUACGUGAGCUGGGUUUAGAACGUCGUGAGACAGUUCGGUCCCUAUCUGCCGUGGGUGAAGGAAACUUGAAAGGAGCUGUCCCUAGUACGAGAGGACCGGGAUGGACACACCUCUGGUGUACCAGUUGUCGCGCCCGCGGCAUCGCUGGGUAGCUAUGUGUGGAAGGGAUAACCGCUGAAGGCAUCUAAGCGGGAAGCCCGCCUUGAAACGAGGUUUCCCUGAGAGCCGUGGCAGACCACCACGUUGAUAGGCCGGGUGUGGAAGCGCAGCAAUGCGUGAAGCUAACCGGUACUAAUCGCUCGAUUGGCUUGCGUUU
rnacentral:rRNA from 1 species